GACGAACGCUGGCGGCGUGCUUAACACAUUCAAGUCGAACGGAAAUGCCCUGCUUUUGUGGGGUGCUCGAGUGGCGAACUGGUGAGUAACACGUGAGUAACCUGCCCUUGACUUUGGGAUAACUUCAGGAAACUGGGGCUAAUACCGGAUAGGAGCUCCUGCUGCAUGGUGGGGGUUGGAAAGUUUCGGCGGUUGGGGAUUGACUCGCGGCUUAUCAGCUUGUUGGUUGGGUAGUGGCUUACCAAGGCUUUGACGGGUAGCCGGCCUGAGAGGGUGACCGGCCAACUUGGGACUGAGAUACGGCCCAGACUCAUACGGGAGGCAGCAGUGGGGAAUCUUGCACAAUGGGCGGAAGCCUGAUGCAGCCACGCCGCGUGCGGGAUGAAGGCCUUCGGGUUGUAAACCGCUUUCGCCUGUGACGAAGCGUGAGUGACGGUAAUGGGUAAAGAAGCACCGGCUCCGUACGUG
rnacentral:rRNA from 1 species